CUUCCUUCCGUAGGUGAACCUGCGGAAGGAUCAUUA
rnacentral:rRNA from 1 species